AUUGAACGCUGGCGGCAGGCCUAACACAUGCAAGUCGAGCUGUAGAGAGGUGCUUGCACCUCUUGAGAGCGGCGGACGGGUGAGUAAUGCCUAGGAAUCUGCCUGGUAGUGGGGGAUAAUGCUCGGAAACGGACGCUAAUACCGCAUACGUCCUACGGGAGAAAGCAGGGGACCUUCGGGCCUUGCGCUAUCAGAUGAGCCUAGGUCGGAUUAGCUAGUUGGUGAGGUAAUGGCUCACCAAGGCGACGAUCCGUAACUGGUCUGAGAGGAUGAUCAGUCACACUGGAACUGGGACACGGUCCAGACUCCUACGGGAGGCAGCAGUGGGGAAUAUUGGACAAUGGGCGAAAGCCUGAUCCAGCCAUGCCGCGUGUGUGAAGAAGGUCUUCGGAUUGUAAAGCACUUUAAGUUGGGAGGAAGGGUCGUUACCUAAUACGUGACGAUUUUGACGUUACCGACAGAAUAAGCACCGGCUAACUCUGUGCCAGCCGCCGCAGUAAUAC
rnacentral:rRNA from 1 species